AUGCUUUCACAACUUGACUUCAAAAUAUUUGGUUUGGAGACCAUCAAAGAUCAAUAUGUGCAUGAUGCUAAUUUUAAAGAUGUAAUGCAUAAUUGUAAAGAAGGAAGAACGUGGAAAAAGUUUGUCGUUAAUGAUGGAUUUGUGUUCCAUGCUAACAAGCUAUGCAUUCCAGAUAGCUUCGUUCGUCUUUUGUUGUUGCAGGAGGCACAUGGAGGAGGACUAAUGGGACACUUUGGCAUGAAGAAGACAGAAGACAUACUUGCUACACAUUUGUUUUGGCCAAAGAUGAGACGUGAUGUUGAGCGUUUUGUUGCUCACUGCACUACAUGUCAAAAAGCUAAGUGA
rnacentral:rRNA from 1 species